rnacentral:rRNA from 1 species
UAGGGAAUCUUCCACAAUGGACGAAAGUCUGUGGAGCAACGCCGCGUGAGUGAAGAAGGGUUUCGGCUCGUAAAACUCUGUUGUUAAAGAAGAACAUAUCUGAGAGUAACUGUUCAGGUAUUGACGGUAUUUAACCAGAAAGCCACGGCUAACUACGUGCCCG